UUGAAAUACCGGUUCCCGUACGACCUCUGAAGUUAAGCAACGUCGAGCCUGGUCAGUACCUAAAUAGGUGACCGCUUCGGAAUACCAGCUGCUGUAAG